rnacentral:misc_RNA from 1 species
GAUGAAGAACGUAGCGAAAUGCGAUAAGUAAUGUGAAUUGCAGAAUUCAGUGAAUCAUCGAAUCUUUGAACGCACCUUGCGCUCCUUGGUAUUCCUUGGAGCAUGCCUGUUUGUGUAUCAUGAAAUUCUCAAAGUAAAUCUUUUUGUUAAUUCAAUUAGGUUCACUUUGGAUUUGGAGGUUUUUUGCAGCUUCACACCUGCUCCUCUUUGUGCAUUAGCUGGAUCUCAGUGUUAUGCUUGGUUCCACUCGGCGUGAUAAGUUAUCUAUCGCUGAGGACACUUUUUUGUUUUUUUCUAAAAAAAUAAAAUAACUAAGUGGCCAAGGGAAAUGCAGAUGAACCGCUUCCAAUAGUCCAUUAGCUUGGACAAAUAUAUUUUUAUGAUCUGAUCUCAAAUCAGGUAGGACUACCCGCUGAACUUAAGCAUAUCAAUAAGCGGAGGA